AUUGAACGCUGGCGGCAUGCUUUACACAUGCAAGUCGAACGGUAACAGGCCUUCGGGUGCUGACGAGUGGCGAACGGGUGAGUAAUGCAUCGGAACGUACCCAGAGGUGGGGGAUAACGCAGCGAAAGCUGUGCUAAUACCGCAUGUGAUCUGAGGAUGAAAGCGGGGGACCGAGCAGCAAUGUUUGGCCUCGCGCCUUUGGAGCGGCCGAUGUCGGAUUAGCUAGUUGGUGCGGUAAAGGCCUACCAAGGCGACGAUCCGUAGCUGGUCUGAGAGGACGACCAGCCACACUGGGACUGGGACACGGCCCAGACUCCUACGGGAGGCAGCAGUGGGGAAUUUUGGACAAAGGGCGCAAGCCUGAUCCAGCAAUGCCGCGUGCGGGAAGAAGGCCUUCGGGUUGUAAACCGCUUUUGGCAGGAACGAAACGGUGUCCGCUAAUACCGGGCGCUAAUGACGGUACCUGCAGAAUAAGCACCGGCUAACUACGUG
rnacentral:rRNA from 1 species